UACUGAAUCACUUAGAUAGUAUCUCAGCUGGAAUGGAAGUGGACAUUACUUUAUUGUUAAUCCAUUAAUAAAUAGGUGCUAGACGUAGUAAUGACUGUGAUGUGAGAUAAUUUCAUGUUCUGGACACCACAUUGAUAAGACUACUUGAAUGUCUUCUCAAAUUAUGGAUCAUCUGAUGUACCUCAAAAAGGAGAUUAAUCCUUUUUGUAAUUGAAGAAAUUUUCUUCUCCAGUAUGCUUUAUUAUGUAUUUUGUCUUACCUCUGGAUUUAAUAUGUGCUUGGGUUAGCAGGGACCUUAAAGAUUAACCAGUCCAACCCCUCUGUUAUGGUCAGGGACAUCUAGAGACUAGAUCAGGUUGCCCUAGGCCCUGUCCAAUAUGACCUUGAACACCUCCAGGGAGGGGACAUCCACAGCUUCUCUGGACAACAUGUUCUGGUGCCUCACCACUAUCUGAGUAAAGAAUUUCUUCCUUAUAUCUAAUUUAAAUCUACCCACUUUCAGUUUAAAGCUAUUAUCCCUUCUCCUAUCACUGCAUGCCCCUGUAGAAAGUCUCUCACCAUCUUUCUUAAAAGUAUUGAAAGGCUGCCAUGCAGUCUCACAAGAGCCUUCUCUUCUAAUCUAGGGCUAAACAACCCCAUCUCUCUCAGCCUUUUUUUUUAUAGGUGAGGUGCUCCAGCCUUCUAUCAGUUUUAUAGCUUUCCUCUGCACCUGCUUUAACAGGUCCUCCUAACCACCUCUAAAUUUAAGUCAUAUUUGUUUAACUGUGUUUUAACUUAAACAUAAAUUCACAGAAGCAUGUAUCUUAACAAACGCAACAGGACUCUAUAAAUGAAAAGAUUCACAGAAGACUCUUUUCUUCAUGGAAAAGAUCAAUAGACUUAGUUGAAGAGAAUUAAAAAGUACUUGUUUAGACAAAGAAGUAUGCCUACCUAUCCUGACCAACAUGGAUGAAUGUGAAAAUAGAAAGUGACCUCAUCAUCAGGGUCCCUGAAUGCUGUUUAAUGCUAAAACAACAACUUUACUACCCAACAGUAAAACCCAAAGGAAGAUAUAUGGAGAAGCAAGUGCCAAGGAUACCUGAAACUCCCAGGUGACAGUGCACAAUUCAUUAUCUCUAGAGUCCUCUGUUCUUUCUGUUCGAGCUGUCCCCAGCUGAUCCUGGGACUGGAAAUACAUAAAAUAACUAAUAUGGCAAGAGAAAGGAAAAAAGAAAAUUCCUGCAAAUAAAAGUCUUAGGUACGUAAAUGUUAACAAUGCUGAAUUUCAAUAUAGUGUCCAUAAAGAUUUAUGGCUUGUCAAAAAAAAUCAAUGUCAAAUGACACCCAAAGUAAAAGAAAAUCUAUGUGAGCUUAUACAAGAAAAUUGUAGUAGAUAGAAAACUGAUGAAGUGAUAUUUAGACAUAGGUUAAAAGAAAAGUUGUCCAGAUCAAAAAAAUCCCAUUAUCCUUUGAGGAUGAUAUACAAAAUCUACUUGUUAUGCAUGGUGUUGACAUUCUAUCUUUUGAUGCACAGCUUAGGGUAUGUCUGCAUAGGGUAUGUCUAGUUACUUGCAAUGUCAUGGCAUUUAGAAUCUUUGUACAUGUUUUAUUUCAUUUAAAUGUAACAAUGUAAAAUUCAUUCAAGUUAAAAUAUUCUAAAAUGACUCUCUCUAUAAAAAUCUGUAUUGAAAAAAAAAAUAAAUCCUGUCAGUAUUACCACAGUAUCCCCCAAAAGAAAAUAAACUUGAUAACUAAAAAUAGCGAUAAUAAAGACACCUCUGGAUUCAUAAGUCUUUGCAAAAGAAUCAUAGAAUAAUAGAAUAUCCUGAGUUGGAAGGGACACACACAAGGAUCCUCGAGUCCAACUCCUAGAUCUGCACAGGACCAUGCAAAAAUCAAACCAUAUGAGGGUAUUGUUCAAAUACUUCUUGAACUCCAGCAGGCUUGAUUCCGUGACUGUUUCAAUGGGGAGCAUGUUCCAGUGCCCAGCUACCCUCUCAGUGAAGAACCUUUUCCUGGUAUCCAACCUGAAAGUCCCAUAUCACAGCUUCACGUCAUAGAAUCACAGAAUCCUCUCCUAUGAGGAAAGUCUGAGAGAGCUGGGGCUGUUCAGCCUACAGAAGAGAAGGCUCUGGGGUGAUCUUAUUGCAGGUUUUCACCGCUUAAAAGGGGCUUAAAAAAAAAGAUGGAAAGAAACUUUUUUUCUCAGCCAGAUAGUGACAGGACAAGGGGGAAUGCAUUUAAACUAAAAGAGUGGAGAUUUAGGUUAGAGGUUAGGAGGAAAUUUUUCACUCAGAGGCACAGAAACAGGCUACCCAGAGAAGCUGUGGAUGUCCCAUCCCUGGAGGUGUUCAAGGCCAGGCUGGACGGGGCCCAGAGCAACCUGGUCUAGUGGGUGGCGCCCCUGCUCAUGGCAGGGGAGUUGGAACUAGGUGAUCUCUAAUGUGCUUUUGUAAACCAAGCCAUUCAAUGAUUCAGUGAUCAUAAAAGAUACUACCACCACAAAUAUACAUACUGUAUGUCCACUCUGUAAACAAUCCUUAAUGUAAUGGAUUUAAUUUGUCCCUCUGAUGAUAAUUAGGAUAUGUUAAUUGAACUGUAUCGAUAAACUAUAAAUUCAAUACUUCAAAUGAAUCUCAGGAAAUGUGACUAAACUAUUGUGUGAUUAUGCUUUGUUCUGCACACUGGUUUAUGAUAAACCACCUCUAAUCCUAAAAAUAAACAUAACAAGGGCACAAGUCUUAAUCAGAAACAUAAAAGUCCAAAAAUGUGCAUCCAUUUAACUUAGACAGAAUCUUCUUCGAUGUCUUUUCAUUGCAUGGAUAGGUUAAAAGUUUGGUCUUGAUA